rnacentral:rRNA from 1 species
UAUCGGAACGUACCUUUCAGUGGGGGAUAACGUAGCGAAAGUUACGCUAAUACCGCAUAUUCUGUGAGCAGGAAAGCAGGGGAUCGCAAGACCUUGCGCUGAUUGAGCGGCCGAUAUCAGAUUAGCUAGUUGGUGAGGUAAAGGCUCACCAAGGCGACGAUCUGUAGCGGGUCUGAGAGGAUGAUCCGCCACACUGGAACUGAGACACGGUCCAGACUCCUACGGGAGGCAGCAGUGGGGAAUUUUGGACAAUGGGGGCAACCCUGAUCCAGCCAUGCCGCGUGAGUGAAGAAGGCCUUCGGGUUGUAAAGCUCUUUCGGCCGGGAAGAAAUCGCAUGGGUUAAUACCCUGUGCGGAUGACGGUACCGGCAUAAGAAGCACCGGCUAACUACGUGCCAGCAGCCGCGGUAAUACGUAGGGUGCGAGCGUUAAUCGGAAUUACUGGGCGUAAAGCGUGCGCAGGCGGUUUUUUAAGACAGGCGUGAAAUCCCCGGGCUCAACCUGGGAACUGCGCUUGUGACUGGAAGGCUAGAGUAUGGCAGAGGGGGGUGGAAUUCCACGUGUAGCAGUGAAAUGCGUAGAGAUGUGGAGGAACACCAAUGGCGAAGGCAGCCCCCUGGGCCAAUACUGACGCUCAUGCACGAAAGCGUGGGUAGCAAACAGGAUUAGAUACCCUGGUAGUCCACGCCCUAAACGAUGUCAACUAGGUGUUGGGUGGGUAAAACCAUUUAGUACCGGAGCUAACGCGUGAAGUUGACCGCCUGGGGAGUACGGCCGCAAGGUUAAAACUCAAAGGAAUUGACGGGGACCCGCACAAGCGGUGGAUGAUGUGGAUUAAUUCGAUGCAACGCGAAAAACCUUACCUACCCUUGACAUGUCCAGGAGCCUGAAGAGAUUUGGGUGUGCCCGAAAGGGAACUGGAACACAGGUGCUGCAUGGCUGUCGUCAGCUCGUGUCGUGAGAUGUUGGGUUAAGUCCCGCAACGAGCGCAACCCUCGUCGUUAAUUGCCAUCAUUCAGUUGGGCACUUUAACGAGACUGCCGGUGACAAACCGGAGGAAGGUGGGGAUGACGUCAAGUCCUCAUGGCCCUUAUGGGUAGGGCUUCACACGUCAUACAAUGGUCGGUACAAAGGGUUGCCAAGCCGCGAGGUGGAGCCAAUCCCAGAAAGCCGAUCGUAGUCCGGAUCGCAGGCUGCAACUCGCCUGCGUGAAGUCGGAAUCGCUAGUAAUCGUGGAUCAGCAUGUCACGGUGAAUACGUUCCCGGGUCUUGUACACACCGCCCGUCACACCAUGGGAGCGGGUUCCGCCAGAAGUAGGUAGCCUAACCGCAAGGAGGGCGCUUACCACGGCGGGGUUCGUGACUGGGGUGAAGUCGGAACAAGGUA